rnacentral:lncRNA from 1 species
AAAACAACACCUGAAAGAUUCAAAUAAUUCUCAAGGUUUCUGUGAAAUUUGUUGAAGAAACAUUGUAUUAGCAUAUUCGAAGGACGCUUACCCUAGAAGAUGGUACGGAUUUUCGUUUUAGGUUUUUUUCUUUUUCUUUCCCAAUUACGUGAUUAACAUUUGGGUGAACUGAUUUUUUGGGGGUUCUUAAACACGAUGAACUUAGAGGAUUAAGGGCAUGGUUUUAACUAAAAAUAAGGUGUAUUUUAUGGAUUAGUGACAAUUUUCAGGAUUCGUUCAAAGUAGAGAAUUUUGUCGAUCUUAGUGUUGUUUGAUUUUAGGGGUUUAUGUUUAAUUUCAAAUAGCAGAUCUAAUUUUUUGCAUUGCUAUAUAAAUAGCAGGCGUAAUACCUCAUUUGAAUUCUCAACUUUAUUGAUUUUUUUAGUUUUUCCAUAGUAACAGAUUUCUCAACCUGUAUGACAUUGUAGGCUUGGACUUAAAAUGAAUUUUUUU